rnacentral:rRNA from 1 species
UACAGAGGGUGCAAGCGUUAAUCGGAUUUACUGGGCGUAAAGCGUGUGUAGGUGGCCGCGUAAGUCGAUUGUGAAAUCCCUGGGCUUAACCUGGGAACUGCAGUCGAGACUGUCUAGCUAGAGUAUGGGAGAGGGAAGUGGAAUUUCAGGUGUAGCGGUGAAAUGCGUAGAUAUCUGAAGGAACAUCAGUGGCGAAAGCGACUUCCUGGACCAAUACUGACGCUCAUGUGCGAAAGCGUGGGGAGCAAACAGG